rnacentral:rRNA from 1 species
CCUACGGGUGGCAGCAGUGGGGAAUAUUGGACAAUGGGCGAAAGCCUGAUCCAGCCAUGCCGCGUGUGUGAAGAAGGCCUUCGGGUUGUAAAGCACUUUCAGUGGGGAAGAAAGCCUUGGGGCUAAUACCCUCGAGGAAGGACAUCACCCACAGAAGAAGCACCGGCUAACUCCGUGCCAGCAGCCGCGGUAAUACGGACGGUGCGAGCGUUAAUCGGAAUUACUGGGCGUAAAGCGCGCGUAGGCGGUCUGAUAAGCCGGUUGUGAAAGCCCCGGGCUCAACCUGGGAACGGCAUCCGGAACUGUCAGGCUAGAGUGCAGGAGAGGAAGGUAGAAUUCCCGGUGUAGCGGUGAAAUGCGUAGAGAUCGGGAGGAAUACCAGUGGCGAAGGCGGCCUUCUGGACUGACACUGACGCUGAGGUGCGAAAGCGUGGGUAGCAAACAGGAUUAGAUACCCCUGUAGUC